UACGGAGGGGGCUAGCGUUGUUCGGAAUUACUGGGCGUAAAGCGCGCGUAGGCGGCUUUGUAAGUUAGAGGUGAAAGCCCGGAGCUCAACUCCGGAAUUGCCUUUAAGACUGCAUAGCUAGAAUCAUGGAGAGGUGAGUGGAAUUCCGAGUGUAGAGGUGAAAUUCGUAGAUAUUCGGAAGAACACCAGUGGCGAAGGCGACUCACUGGACAUGUAUUGACGCUGAGGUGCGAAAGCGUGGGGAGCAAACAGG
rnacentral:rRNA from 1 species